rnacentral:lncRNA from 1 species
AAAUGAAUAAAUCACUAGCACAAAUAUAGCAGGAAUUUAAUCAGGAAUAAAUAAAUUCUAGCCAAGGAUGCAACUACUCAGGCACAGUCCAUUUAUCCGAUCAUUGAUGCAGGAGAGGUUCACUUAAUUUAUUAAUAGGCUAGUUAUAGUCUGAUGACCAAUUUUUCCUUAAAUUAUUGAUAACCAAGGUACGACCGUUGAUUACCCCUAAUCAGCAAAUACUCCUAGGUACGACCAUAGGAAUUAAUUUUCCAAUUGCAUUAAUAACUAGAAAAACCUAGCCCCAACCAAUAACACGCUACGAGGGUUAUUUAAAUUAGAUUGCACGUUCCCCUAAUGUGUAAACACACCAGUUGCCACUAAUAUUAAUCAAUCAAACAAUUACGGAUUUAAUUGACUAAAUUGGCACGAGAUUAAUAAAUCACAUUGAACAUCGGGCCCUUGACAUCCAAUUAAUAAAAUAAUCCCAUGAAAAUUAAAUCAGACAACAUGCAAAUAUUAAUAGAUAAAGGAACACGUGAAAACUAAUUAGAUCUCACAGAUUUUCGGGACUGCGCCGUCGAGUUGACCCUUGACUAGAUGGAAGACUUAGCCACGCCGCAUAAUUAAAUCAUCACACGAAUUAAUAGAUUGCAAAGGCAUUGCGUUUUCUAUUAAGAAGCAAGGAAUAAAAGGUGUUUUUCCCGUUGGGGAAUAUUGUCGAACACCUGGCGUGCGUCAGAGACCAGUCAGGAGAAAGCAGAACUAAAAACUGAACUAAAAGACUAAAACUAAAGAUAUCUCUACUACUCUACGUUAUCCCUAUUUAAGCAACAAAAGAAAGAUGACUAAAGCCUAUCUAGGUGGUCCCCACACAUGUGGACAAAGCCUUCAAAGUAUUACUUGCCCAAGUCUCUUUCCGUAGCUUCCUUUGAAGAGCUCAAAUGACAUAUAGUUUGUGGUCCCCCACCAAUUCAAGGGCCCAAGAAUUGAAGCCCCUAGAAGUCUCCAUAUUCUCCAUAAAAUCCCUCCUUUUUGGUAGUUUUCUGUUUCACUCCUGAAAUUAAGUCCAUAUACCAAAAAUGAGUAGAUCUCAGCAAUUAACACAAUAUUUAUCAGGGAUAAAAGGGAAAAUUAAUAAUAAAAUUACUAACAAAUUAUACCCUAUCAAUUCCCCCCACACCUAAAUCAUGUUUGUCCUCAAGCAUGGGGACAAUUCAACUCAACACAGGCUAGCUUUCACACUUUCAUUACCAGCUGUGCUUAUACUCAAAAUCAAGAUUUAGCGGCUAAGUGUCAAGUCAUAUCUUACUCGGUUAGCUUCUAAGUUCAUAGACCUGUCCAAUUCAUGGCUAAUUCGCUUAGGAAAUCCAAAUAUUAACUAGCAACAGGCAGUAAUUAAGUCAACUGGCAACCAAAAUCUCAACAGUGCGAACCAAGGAUCGGCAGGCCAACAUGAUCAUAAACUCACAUUUUCCAUAUCUGAUUUUUUCUUUUUUUUUUUCGUUUCUCUUUUUUUUUUUAGAUUGCAAGAAUAAUGCUUAGUCCCGAGCUAUUCAAGUCUUUUGACGUGAACACUGACAUUUUUAGAUGAAAGAGCCCAGUUACUCAACUUUUCACAGCUCCAGGACCACUUACUCAUAGAUAUCGCCACUUUUUGACGCGAGAGCCGACAUUUGUGGUGAAGACUCCCGGUUACUAGGUGGCGACACUAGCGGAGCACAGCCAUAUGUUAUUCACCAUAAAACACCAAAAUACCAAGUAAUUACAGAUCAUAGCCUGCGUCAUGUCCUAAAUAUGGAGACUAAGGUAAACAGGAGACCAAACUACACAACAGUGCCAGCAAAAUAUUUAUAUUGCCUAAACAAGUUAGCCAUAAAUUGCACCACGUCGUUAAACUCAAAGUAUUCACCAAGAAAGCAUGCUUUUACUUGCCACUGUAACUUAACUCAUAGUACAAACCACAACUAACAAGAAAAAGUGAGCUGCCAAAAAUAUUCACCAAGAUAGAAGCAAGGAAAAGGCACUCAAAAGGGAAUAAAGGGACAACACCUACACAGAAAACACUUACUAAAAGUAUAGCAAGAACACCCCAAAAACGAAAAAUGGGAAAUAUCUAGCACUCAAACAAAGACCCCCCCACACCUAAAUGACACAUUGCCCUCAAUGUGAUAAUAUAAUAGUAGAGAAAAAGGAGGGGCAACGGUACUUCCCUGGAGUCGUCAAGACAAGGGAGGGUUAGGCGGAAACUGCGGAGGGAACCCGGCCUGCUGCAUAAACGCCGCUAGAUUCUGCGCCAUAUUGUGAAUGUUAACGUCCAUGUGUCACUGCCUAAUCUCAAGCCGCUCGACUGUGCUGCGGAGAUGGUUCCAUUCCUCAUCCGUAUGGGCGGAAGGGGGGGGAGCGGAGGAAGAAGGACCGGGAGCGCCGCCCUCAUGGGGAGCUCGGGCAAAAGUUGACCGAGGGGGAGGGCGGAGCGGCCCCGGGGGAACAACCUCCCAACCAUUGUCGCCCUCCCGAACUAAGCCCAUUUUCUCUAAGCACGGGAUAUCCAAUGGCUCCAUUUGACAGGCUACAUGCAAGUUAUGGUUAGAAAUAUCAAGGACAUGCAAAUUAAUAGCCAAGUGGGUAAUGUAAGACCCCAAAAUCAAGGGGCGCUUCUUUUUAGGCAAAAUGGAUUUGAACUGAGAAGCGAGCCAACACCCAAGGUUAACCUUAAUAUUGUUUUGCAUGCACCAUAUAAAGAAAAAUUCCGGCUUAGACAAAACGCCCGAACUAUCUCGCCUACCCGAGAAACUGUAAGCCAAAAAACGGUGGAUAUAACGAGAGGCCGGGUCCUUCAGAUAAGAACCCUUAGAUAGACGAGGGUCAUAGUUAUCCUUGUCUACGGACAUCUCAUCCCAAAGAAAGCGAUAGCGGGAGAAAAACGGCUGAACAUAGUCACAUGCACUCUCGGCGUACUCCCUAGACUCAGCAUAAGAAGGCUCAAUGAAACCAAAGGCCAGAUUGAAGUCGGUUAUGGAAUGGUGGAAUUCCUGGCCCAUUAAACGGAAGCGGAUGGCAUCAGGGGUAGAAACUGUGUAAUUAGUGGGAAGGUCAAACUCAAACGUGGCAUAAAACUCCCUAACUAACUCGACAAAAGCCGGGAGGUCAGUGAUACGAGAAUAGGGGUGCCACCCGAUGGCUUCAAUCAAAUCGUGAAAGGGGACGCUAAUGUUUAGAAGGCCCAAGGUAGCGGGGUCCCGAUAACGACAAGAAAUAAUCCGUCGUUCACAAGCCGCUUCAUAGCGCCGCUUGUCGGCUGCCCGGGUGAAGUCCAAAUGACCCCCAAAAUGUGCAGGGUCAGAGAUAUGGACGCCUCUUUAUCGCCCAAGACGAGCCCGCCUCCCAGAGGAGGAAGGGUCGUGCGAAGGGUCAGAGGCGGGAAUGGAAUGCUGGGGUGGAGGGGGCUGAGGAGUCCUAGGGGUCCUAGUCUUAGAAGAAGAUCGAGGUUUUACCAUGGUGACCAACAGGCAAACCAAAACAACCAAGUAGCAAAUAUAAGCGUCACGGGCGCCCCCAAUAAACAAGUAUAAGCGUCACAGGCGCCCCCAAAUUUAACCAGCAAUGGCAGCAAAGCACCCAAAAUUGACACCAAAGAUAUGAAUCAGACACAGUUGGACCCAAAACCGGAACCUCUGUCUCUAACUGGACAGUCAAUUACCCAAGACAAUUUACCAAAUUAGCAAUUGAGCCAAGCAAUGGGCAAUAUCAGCAACCACAUGUCAAAAUGUGACCACCACUGAAGUACAAGGUUAUUAGCUCGCAAACAGUCAGGCGCCCAUAUAAAAGCAAUGAAAAUAAUCAAAACACUCCCACCAGUACCACUGGUGCAUAGACAGGAAAGAAUUAAAAUCAACGGUAGCAAUUCAAUCCACCAUAACUGAGACUCGAAAAUAAGCAAGUAUCUCAAAAACAGCAGCAAUGAUAGGCAAAAGAGAUCAACCAGUACCACUGGUGAGUCACAGGGAAAAAGUAAACAAAUAGUAAACAAAAGGGCUAGCUGUUCAACAAAUAGUAGAAAAUACCCCCACUUUGGCAGCAAUUAAACUCAAACUUGUCCAAACAGUUCCCCCAGGAAAUAACUAAAUCACCCCCUGCUCUAUCUAACCACUCAAUCACAGAGUGGACCCAAUCACAAAUGCCCAGUAGUUACAAUUCAUUGAAUUAGGCAAUCCAAAACACAGAUUAUCAGAUGUUAAACAACUACCCUCACCAGUACCACUGGUGAGUAUAGAGGGAGAAAUUAGAUCAAAUAACCAACCUAGUGAGCAAAACAGAUUUGAACACCCAAGUAGCGCCAAAAAUGAGCGAAAAUUAAAUCCAGAAGCAAUUGGCUGCAGUCUAACUCAACUAUAAUUAUCAGCAAAUUUCCCACAGAUGGCAGCAAUUACCCCCAAAUUAGUCCCAAAAUUUACCCUAGAAAAUGCCACUACAACCCUGCUGUAUCCAACAAGAAAUCCAACCACAGAUUUCAGAGAUUUCAACUAACUAGGGGAAGAGAAGAUAAUACCUCCACCUGUCAAAACUGACAGGUGGUGAUGCGCGGCUGUCUGUGAGUGAGCUAGUGGUGGAGCUUGCUGGAACUUGGAGCUAUUGCUGAGGGAGUUGCGGCGUCGCACGGCUGCAGCGCACGAGGAGCUGCGGGCGGCGGCUGCCCUUGGGCGAGCCAAUGACGCGCGGCCAAGGGAAAAGGGAGAAGGCCGCGCGCUGUGGGGGAAGGGAUUCGCGCGCUGUGGAGCGCAAGUGGGAAGGAGCCGCGGCCCGCUGGUGGUGGCUAGUGGGCUUCGUCGACCGCGUGCGCCGUGGAGCUCCUCGGUGGUAGAGCUGGAAUAGGUGGCGGCGGCUGGAGCAGGUUGUGGGCGAAGCUGGAGCAGAUCAGCGACGAGGGAGAAGGAGCCGCGGCGGUGGGAAGUGCGGCGCGCGGCUGUGGAGUAGAGCGGCAGGCGGUGGCGCAGCGGCGAGCGGCGUGCGGCAGCGGCAGCGGCGUGGGCUAGCGGCAGCGGCAGCGGCGUGCAGCGCGGAAGGAAAAGAAGGAAAAGCAGGGCAGCGGGGAAAAAGGGAAGAAAGAAAGAAAGAAGAAAAGAAAGAAAGAAGAAAAAGAAAAGAGAAGAGGAAAAAUUUUUUUUUUUAAAUAUUACGCUAAUGUAAUCGUUUCAGCUGGAAGUUGCUGAAAAAUAAAUUUUUUUUUUAUUUUUAUUUUUUAUUAUUAUUUUUUUUAAAUUUUUUGUAGAAAGAAAAUAAUCUUUUUUUUUUCUGUUAAAGAUAGGAAUAAUAAGAAUAAUAAUAAUAAUACUCAUAAGAAUAGGAAGAGUAAUAAUAACAAUAAUAAUAAUAAAAGUUGGUUUUUUUUUUUUUUUUUUUUUUUAUUUUCAGGUCAUCAAACAUCGCGUGGGCAUGCCAAGAUUAUAAAACAUCCACUGACCUCAGGAGAGAUAAACACUGCGUGGGCACGCCAAGAUUACGAAACGUCCCUAACCUCAGGAGACACCAACGCCGCGUGGGCACGCUAAGAUUGGUUUUCGUCCCCUGAUCUCAGGAGACACCAACACCGCGUGGGCACGCCAAGAUCUCACUUCCUGAUUUCAGUGAAGGAAAUAUUAAUACAGAUACUACCCAACGAGUAAAUGACCCACUGCAAAAGAAGAACAACUAGAAAUCACAAAACAACUAGAAAUAACAAAACUAAUAUUCGGGUUGCCUUCCAAACUAGCGCCUUUCUUUAGUGUCUUUGGCUAGACACAACCCAUAAUUUGCUUAAACCAAGCAAAUUGGGUCCUCCAAAUGCAUCAUCUCUACCCGCUCAACUGGAACCUCAUCAUAAUAUGGCUUGAGGCGAUGACCAUUCACCACAAAUUUCUUCUCCGUCUUUAGACUCUGGAUUUCCACUACACCAUAAUCAAAGACAUUUAUUACAACAAAGGGACCUAUCCAACGAGAACGUAGCUUACCUGGAAAUAACUUCAAUUUGGAGUGAUACAGUAGAACUUUUUGUCCACAUUCAAACGUCUUCCUAGAGAUCUGUUGGUUAUGAAAAAUCUUGGUUUUCUCCUUAUAAAUCACAGCAUUCUCGUAGGCUUCAUUGCGAAUCUCCUCCAAUUCUUGUAACUGUAGUUUCCUUUGAAUUCCGCCCUCUUCGAUAUCCAUGUUGCAUUGCUUGACCGCCCAAAAUGCUCUAUGCUCGAACUCGACAGGGAGGUGGCAUGGCUUCCCAAAUACCAAACGGUAAGGGGACAUGCCGAUUGGUGUCUUGUAUGCCGUUCUAUAUGCCCACAAGGCAUCUUCAAGUCUUAUACUCCAAUCCUUCCUAUCGGGUCGAACCAUCUUCUCCAAAAUUGACUUGGUAAGAAGUGAAGACUUUGUGCAAGACACCGUACCUCCUGAAAAGCGCAGCAAUCGUCUUGUUGCAGAAAUGGGUACCCCGAUCACUUACAAUUGCUCGAGGCAUUCCAAAGCGGACAAAAAUGUUAGAUUUGACAAAUUCUGCAACCACUUUGGAAUUAUUAGUACUAGUGGGCUUUGCUUCCACCCAUUUCGAAACAUAGUCUACAGCAAGCAAUAUAUAUAGAAAACCAUAAGACGAAGGAAAAGGCCCCAUAAAAUCAAUACCCCAAACGUCAAAAAUCUCAACAAACAUCAUUGGAGUUUGGGUCAUUUGAUCCCUACGAGAAAUAUUACCUACUCUUUGACACUUAUCACAUGACUUACAAAAUGAGUAGGCAUCCUUAAAGAGGGUUGGCCAAUAGAAUCCACUCUCUAGAACCUUACGAGCAGUCCUCUUUGGUCCAAAGUGACCCCCACAUGCAAAAGAGUGACAAUAAAUGUAUUAAAUGUUUGUAAUAAAUGUAUUAAAUAAGUGACCAAAGAGGACUGCUCGUAUUAAAUAAGGACUGCUCGUAAGAGUGACAAUAAGUGACCAAAGAGGACUGUAUUAAAUGUUUCCUCGCCUGUAAUAAAUGUAUUAAAUAAGUGACCCCCAUAUCCAAAGUGACUCCCACAGGCAACAAAUGUAUUAAACCAGGUUUUUAUUCAAAAGCUGCAUUCUCACUAAGACGAGGAAAAGUUAUGCAAAGAGGUUGUUGGGUCAAGUUUGGAGCAGCCAACUCCCUUAAUGUUUGUGUGUUUGCCAUGGCGACGUUCUCUUGGUACGAAUCACUUGAAGUGUCACCAAACGAAUCUGCUGGUUCAACUUCGGGCUCAAGUCUCUGAGAUGUAGCACUGGAGUGCUCCUCUCUGAGCUGUCUGGUUUCUUUCCUUGUUCUACGCGCGGUCUUUUCUACUUCGGGGUCAAAAAUCAAUUCACCUGUACGAGAAGACCUAGGCAUACACUAGAAAAAUACCAGAAAAUUAGAGUAAAAAUGAACUUAUUUAAAGAAACAAAUAAUAACGCCAGUCCCCGGCAACGGCGCCAAAAAUUGACAGGUCGUCAGCCUGUGCAAUAAUAAUAAUAAUAAUAUAGAACCUAGCUACCACUAAGAGCAGUCAAUAAUUAAUCCUAGGUACUGGAGCAGGGACUCUAGGUGUGCAAUGGGUUACUUGAUUCACCCUGUUCCCGAAGAGUUUGCUUAAUCCGAUAUACCAGAAUUAAUUAAUUGACAAAAAUUACUAAAUAGUAGACAGUGACAAGUAGGGUCGUCUUCUCAGGGACUGGAGAUAUUUGUUUCUUUUUAAAGUCCAAUUGAUAAGGGGGGAUUUUACCGGAAUGAAACUAAAAAUAAUCAGACAAUUUAAUUAAAAAUGAAUAAAUCACUAGCACAAAUAUAGCAGGAAUUUAAUCAGGAAUAAAUAAAUUCUAGCCAAGGAUGCAACUACUCAGGCACAGUCCAUUUAUCCGAUCAUUGAUGCAGGAGAGGUUCACUUAAUUUAUUAAUAGGCUAGUUAUAGUCUGAUGACCAAUUUUUCCUUAAAUUAUUGAUAACCAAGGUACGACCGUUGAUUACCCCUAAUCAGCAAAUACUCCUAGGUACGACCAUAGGAAUUAAUUUUCCAAUUGCAUUA